GCGCAGCGCGAGAGCAAAGGGCGGUUACCCAACGGCCUUCGCUCUCAUGGCGUCCUACUUCGCGUUACCUAAAGCCAAGGGCGAUUAGAAGGUAAUCGCCUCCUGGUCAUGCUUCCACUGGUCACCAGUGUCCGCGGGGCGACCCCACAUUGUGACCAGAGCAGGCCUGUGGCUGAGCUCAAGGCGGGAGCGUUCAUAGCUUUCCUAGCGGGGGCGCUGCGGGACGCCCAGGCUGCGCCCCUUUCCCUUGCUCACCUGGCCCUGAAGUGAAGGGGGAGGUGUAACAAUGCAGUGGGAACCCCAAAGUGUGUCUGGGCCGUGCCUUUCACAUUCCAAACAAUGCAAAAGCUUGAGGAAAACCUCAGCAGUUGAAACCGUGAUGCAGUUCAGCAAAGAAGUAGCUCCUGUCCUCGUAAAAUCAGUGAAGUUCUCACGAACGACCUCAUUGAGUGGUGAAGGUGUUUAUUGUCCUGACCCCACAGUUUCUGUCCCAUGACAAGGACCAGCUGACCAAGGAGCUGCAGCAGCAUGUAAAGUCAGUGACAGUCUCAUGCAAGUCCCCAAGGAAGGUGGAGUUUAUCCCGGAGCUGGCGAAAACCGUCACUGGAAAGAUUAAACAAAGUGAACUUCGGAAAAGGAGCUUGGUCAGAUGUAAUCAGCAGUGAACUCGGAACCCACUGUGCACCUUGGGCCAAUCCCUGGCCACUUCAGUCUCCCCACUAGGGCGGGGUGAUGAUGGGACAUUGAGAGGGUUGAUUUGGAAAAGUAUCAGGAGUGCCACAAUUCCAAUGGUUUUCUUUUCUUUUUCUUUUUCUUUCUUAUCUUUUUUUUUUUUUUUUUUUUUGAGACAGAAUUUCAUUCUCGUUGCCCAGGCUGGAGUUCAGUGGUGUGAUCCUGGCUCACUGCAACCUCCACCUCCCGGGUUUAAGCCCUUCUCCCAUCUCAGCCUCCUGAGUAGCUGGGACUACAGGUGCCCACCACCACACCCAGCUAAUUUUUGUAUUUUUAGUAGAAAUAGAGUUUCACGAUGUUGGCCAGGCUGGUGUUGAACUCCUGGCCUCGGGUGAUCCACCCGCCUCAGCCUUCCAAAAUGCUGGGAUUUCAGGCGUGAGCCACCACACCCGGACUGUUUUUGUUCUUUUAAGUUGCAUUCAGUUACUCUGCCUCCUCCAAGUCCUCUCUGUCUCUUUAGAAUUUCCCAGGUGAGUACACAGAUUGGAAUUCCAGGUAAUAAAAUACUAAUUUUGACAA